rnacentral:rRNA from 1 species
UGCAGUCGACGGCAGCACGGGGGCACCCUGGUGGCGAGUGGCGAACGGGUGAGUAACAUAUCGGAACGUGCCCUGGAGUGGGGGAUAACUAGUCGAAAGAUUAGCUAAUACCGCAUACGAUCUACGGAUGAAAGUGGGGGAUCGCAAGACCUCAUGCUCGUGGAGCGGCCGAUAUCUGAUUAGCUAGUUGGUGGGGUAAAGGCCUACCAAGGCAUCGAUCAGUAGCUGGUCUGAGAGGACGACCAGCCACACUGGGACUGANACACGGCCCAGACUCCUACGGGAGGCAGCAGUGGGGAAUUUUGGACAAUGGGCGCAAGCCUGAUCCAGCAAUGNCGCGUGAGUGAAGAAGGCCUUCGGGUUGUAAAGCUCUUUUGUCAGGGAAGAAACGGUUCGGGUUAAUACCUUGGGCUAAUGACGGUACCUGAAGAAUAAGCACCGGCUAACUACGUGCCAGCAGCCGGGGUAAUACGUAGGGUGCAAGCGUUAAUCGGAAUUACUGGGCGUAAAGCGUGCGCAGNC